rnacentral:lncRNA from 1 species
CCCUCUCGUUUGAAAGAGAUGCACUCCAAAACUCCUCCCUAAAUUCAGAUAAAUUAUAGUCCCAGUCUUUCGCCUUUCACAUUCAACGAUCGUACCGGCGAGAAAGAUGGCGCUGGAGAUAUGCGCGAAAAAGCUAAUCCAGACCCGUACGUGCUGACUUGUGGCAGACCCAUUGACCACGGAGCAUGCUCCCCACGUGGAGGGGCUGUCCCAUCCCCCUCACUCCUCAAGUGGAUGCAU